GAUGAACGCUGGCGGCGUGCCUAAUACAUGCAAGCCGAGCGAACAGACGAGGAGCUUGCUCCUCUGACGUUAGCGGCGGACGGGUGAGUAACUCGUGGAUAACCUACCUAUAAGACUGGGAUAACUUCGGGAAACCGGAGCUAAUACCGGAUAAUAUAUUGAACCGCAUGGUUCAAUAGUGAAAGACGGUUUUGCUGUCACUUAUAGAUGGAUCCGCGCCGCAUUAGCUAGUUGGUAAGGUAACGGCUUACCAAGGCAACGAUGCGUAGCCGACCUGAGAGGGUGAUCGGCCACACUGGAACUGAGACACGGUCCAGACUCCUACGGGAGGCAGCAGUAGGGAAUCUUCCGCAAUGGGCGAAAGCCUUACGGAGCAACGCCGCGUGAGUGAUGAAGGUCUUCGGAUCGUAAAACUCUGUUAUUAGGGAAGAACAAAUGUGUAAGUAACUAUGCACGUCUUGACGGUACCUAAUCAGAAAGCCACGGCUAACUACGUG
rnacentral:rRNA from 1 species